GACCGAACCGACUAAUGUUGAAAAAUUAGCGGAUGACCUGUGGCUGGGGGUGAAAGGCCAAUCAAACCGGGAGAUAGCUGGUUCUCCCCGAAAGCUAUUUAGGUAGCGCCUCGUGAAUUCAUCUCCGGGGGUAGAGCACUGUUUCGGCUAGGGGGCCAUCCCGGCUUACCAACCCGAUGCAAACUGCGAAUACCGGAGAAUGUUAUCACGGGAGACACACGGCGGGUGCUAACGUCCGUCGUGAAGAGGGAAACAACCCAGACCGCCAGCUAAGGUCCCAAAGUCAUGGUUAAGUGGGAAACGAUGUGGGAAGGCCCAGACAGCCAGGAUGUUGGCUUAGAAGCAGCCAUCAUUUAAAGAAAGCGUAAUAGCUCACUGGUCGAGUCGGCCUGCGCGGAAGAUGUAACGGGGCUAAACCAUGCACCGAAGCUGCGGCAGCGACGCUGAUGCGUUGUUGGGUAGGGGAGCG
rnacentral:rRNA from 1 species